CCUACGGGAGGCAGCAGUGAGGAAUAUUGGUCAAUGGCCGUAAGGCUGAACCAGCCAAGUCGCGUGAAGGAAGAAGGUUCUAUGGUUUGUAAACCUCUUUUAUAGGGGAAUAAAGGUAUCCACGUGUGGAUAUUUGCAUGUACCCUAUGAAUAAGCAUCGGCUAACUCCGUGCCAGCAGCCGCGGUAAUACGGAGGAUGCGAGCGUUAUCCGGAUUUAUUGGGUUUAAAGGGUGCGUAGGUUGUUUUGUAAGUCAGCGGUGAAAGUUUGUGGCUCAACCCUAAGAUUGCCGUUGAAACUGGAAGGCUUGAGUGGGUGAGAGGUAGGCGGAAUGCGUGGUGUAGCGGUGAAAUGCAUAGAUAUCGCGCAGAACUCCGAUUGCGAAGGCAGCUUACUAGGCCAAAACUGACGCUGAGGCACGAAAGCGUGGGGAUCGAACAGGAUUAGAUACCCUGGUAGUC
rnacentral:rRNA from 1 species